rnacentral:rRNA from 1 species
UACGUAGGGACCAAGCGUUGUUCGGAUUUACUGGGCGUAAAGGGCGCGUAGGCGGCGCGGUAAGUCACUUGUGAAAUCUCUGAGCUUAACUCAGAACGGCCAAGUGAUACUGCAGUGCUAGAGUGUGGAAGGGGCAAUCGGAAUUCUUGGUGUAGCGGUGAAAUGCGUAGAUAUCAAGUGGAACACCAGUGGCGAAGGCGAGUCCCUGGACAACUCCUGACACUGAGGCACGAAAGCUAGGGGAGCAAACAGG